rnacentral:rRNA from 1 species
GUAGGGUCCGAGCGUUGUCCGGAAUUAUUGGGCGUAAAGAGCUCGUAGGCGGUUUGUCGCGUCUGCUGUGAAAUCCCGAGGCUCAACCUCGGGCCUGCAGUGGGUACGGGCAGACUUGAGUGGUGUAGGGGAGACUGGAAUUCCUGGUGUAGCGGUGGAAUGCGCAGAUAUCAGGAGGAACACCGAUGGCGAAGGCAGGUCUCUGGGCACUUACUGACGCUGAGGAGCGAAAGCGUGGGGAGCGAACAGGAUUAGAUACCCUGGUAGUCCACGCCGUAAACGUUGGGCGCUAGAUGUGGGGACCUUUCCACGGUUUCCGUGUCGUAGCUAACGCAUUAAGCGCCCCGCCUGGGGAGUACGGCCGCAAGGCUAAA